rnacentral:lncRNA from 1 species
GUAAGGUCCGGUGAGAUCAGAGAGAAGGAGGGAUCUCGAGUGGCUCAUCGCGGUCACGGACUUCCAGACGCGCUCGCGCUUGCUGCGCUCCGGGCUCAGUCCCCGCGGGCUUGCGCACCAGAUCGUGCGCCACGACGACCUCCUGCUGGGCGACUACCGCCUGCACCUGCGCCGCUCCCUGGUCCGGCGGCGCAUGCUCCAGGCCCUGGGGGCGGAGCCGAACGAGGAGGCCUGACGCCCGGGCCGGCCCCGGCAGCGCUUGCGCACCGCCCCGCGGGCUGGGGCCACCCACCCGGAGCCCCGGAGGACAGGGGGCGUUGCCUUCCCAGGAAGGAGGCGGGGCCGGCUCGAGGGGGUGGAUACUGUGAGUUUAAUUAUAAAGAAUGACCUGGUACAAAAGCCAUUUCUCUCUGCAAAAUCUUGGUGGGGAGUCAGGGGAAGGGAGGUGAUGGGGGGUAGGAAUGAACCCCCAUGUUAUAAUCCCGCGUCCCUAAUCUUCCUCCAGUCCCUGUACGUGGACGCCUGGGUCCCAAUCCCUUGAGGGAUGAACUGAGGCCCGCGAAAGGGAAGACCUGGGCACCGGGGCUUUCAACGCGUGCCGAGCCCUGUCUCAGCGAGAAUCAGACGUCCUCAUCCGCCCCCCUCCUCUUCCCCUCCCACCCCCCUUGGAAGACAAUUCUCGGGCUUUUAUUUCAGGUUUUUUUUCUGGAUUUUUUUUGUGUGUUCUAGGGGUUUUGUGUGUUUUUUUUUCUGUUUUUUAUAUUUUCUUCUUUUGUUAUUGUUCCUCUUUUUGCUUUUUCUCUCCUCUCCACCCCGCGCUGUCCCAGCAUUCGGUCCCUCCCCACUCCCCACCCCGACCUCUCCUCCCCCCCCCCCACCCCCUACACCCUCCCCAACCCCGCGGCACCCAUCCAGAAUGAACAAGCCCUUGAUAGACGGGCGCCGCGCAGGCCCCCUG